ACACGUGAUGACAGAAAUUCUUCACUUUGACCUGAUGUCUGUUGAAGAAACUCAGUAUCUGAGG